AGCGAACGCUGGCGGUAGGCCUAACACAUGCAAGUCGAACGGCAGCACAGUAAGAGCUUGCUCUUACGGGUGGCGAGUGGCGGACGGGUGAGGAAUGCAUCGGAAUCUACUUUUUCGUGGGGGAUAACGUAGGGAAACUUACGCUAAUACCGCAUACGACCUACGGGUGAAAGCAGGGGAUCUUCGGACCUUGCGCGAUUGAAUGAGCCGAUGUCGGAUUAGCUAGUUGGCGGGGUAAAGGCCCACCAAGGCGACGAUCCGUAGCUGGUCUGAGAGGAUGAUCAGCCACACGGGAACUGAGACACGGUCCAGACUCCUACGGGAGGCAGCAGUGGGGAAUAUUGGACAAUGGGCGCAAGCCUGAUCCAGCCAUACCGCGUGGGUGAAGAAGGCCUUCGGGUUGUAAAGCCCUUUUGUUGGGAAAGAAAAGCAGCAGGUUAAUACCCCGCUGUUCUGACGGUACCCAAAGAAUAAGCACCGGCUAACUUCGUG
rnacentral:rRNA from 1 species